GAUGAACGCUGGCGGCGUGCCUAACACAUGCAAGUCGAACGGAGUAUUAUGAAGUUUUCGGACGGAUUAAUACUUAGUGGCGGACGGGUGAGUAACGCGUGGGUAACCUGCCUCAUACAGGGGGAUAACAGUUGGAAACGACUGCUAAGACCGCAUAAGCGCACAGUGUCGCAUGACACCGUGUGAAAAUACUUGUAGGUAUAAGAUGGACCCGCGUCUGAUUAGCUAGUUGGUGAGGUAACGGCCCACCAAGGCGACGAUCAGUAGCCGGCUUGAGAGAGUGAACGGCCACAUUGGGACUGAGACACGGCCCAAACUCCUACGGGAGGCUG
rnacentral:rRNA from 1 species